UGUAACCCUUGAAAGGGGAAGCCGCUGAGGCUUGGAGCAGCUCAGUUCAAGCCUGGUCUCUGCCUUCCAGAAGCGGCCGUGGUCAUAUAUGCUCCAGCUCCCUCACAGGGCGCCGAUUAAUCACCUACCCAACAACCUCAUUUAACAGAUGAGAGAACAGACCUACAGAGGUAAACAGCCUUGCCCAAGCCCCAGAUAGCCUAGUGAGUCAAUGGCAGGAUUGAAACCAGAAUCCAGGGUGACUCAGGGCGGUGGAAACUAUAAAAUACUCGGAAAAUAGAGUCCUGUAAAUCCAAAAUAUCCCCACACACUUUUCACCUUUAUGAGGUGUUGUCUUUAAGGCCCGGUCAGAAUGACUUGAGUUAUAAGAUUAAGCAAACAUUUGGAGGAACCCCAGGCCCUUGGAAACAGCAGCCCUUGUGUUGGCCUCACCUCUCUUCCCUGGGAGGAGAGAGCAUGCAGGGCAGUGGGAAGCGCAUGGACUGGGGCUUCUGGCAAGUCAGGGUUUGAAUCUCAGCUUCACAAACAGUGGGAGUUACCCUCUCGGAGCCUCAGUUUGCUCACCUCUAGGAUGGGAUGAUGACACCUCCCUCACCAAGCUCCUGCGUGGAAUAGUCCCUCGGAGUCCCUGAAAAUUUGAGCAACAUAAAGUGGCGUGACAGGUGAAUUUGUACACAGUUGGGAGGGGAGGAAUGUCUGCUGGAUUCUCAGAAGACCAGAUGGUGUUCGCACUUUGGAUAUAAUUCAGCUAUUUCCCCAAAGGACAGAUCAAGGACAAAGGAGCUGUGUCCCUAGUAAGAUAGCAUUCUUUCAAUACGAAGAUGUAUUUUUGGCCACAAGGGGCCUUUUGAAAACUACCUCUUGGGCAGUUACAGACUCUGUGGCCCUUGAGAGCCACAGGUCAAAGGUCAAGGCCCAUAGAAAUGGCUGUAUCCCAGGACUCGGGGCAGUGGGACUGCUUAUCCUCCUGAGGCCCCUGUGGUGUGGUCAUGGGUACUGCCAAUGUCUGCGCCGCUCUGGGCACUGUCUCAAGCAAAGUUUCCCUGUGACUGGAACACCCGCAGCCCUACUCAGCACGCAGGCAGCGACACAGCAGCAAACAACUUGCGUCUGUUUCCUGGUGGCUUGUUCUCUGGGACGCAGAAAAGAACAUGGCGACCGCCAACAUUCAGGCCUAUCUGGAUGCCACCACAGUGUGACUUGAUGAGCAGUGUGUCGGUCCGCACCUGGAAUCCAGGCCGAGAACCCUGGGCCACUGAAGCGGAGCCCGAGAACUUAACCAUUACGCCACCAGGCCGGCCCCUGGAUCCUCAAUAAUUUUUAAGAGUGUAAAGAGAUCUUGAGACCAAAUGGUUUGAGAACAGCUGCCCUGGUCUAAGACAGAUCUAUUCCCUUUAUCUCCUCUCCCAUUUUGGCCUCUGGAAGAGUUCUGUUUAUUGAGUGCCUACUGUGGAAAAACACUCAGCUCUCUCUCAUUUGUAAGGAGGAUGAAACAGUUAUGAAAUACACGUGACUUGGCAUCUCAGCCUUUAACUCCUGGUCUCUACUUUCAGCAAAUGUCUGAGUAGAUUUUCUCCAAGUUAUUUUCUUCCUCCUCCUUUCUUUGUAUUUACUCAUUCAUUGAAUAAACAUCAUAGGACACCCUUUAAUAAGAAAUAAAAUUAGCUAAUUUUUAUCAAAC
ensembl:lncRNA